UCUGAACUAAUGUGCUUCUUUGUAAAAAAAAAAAAAAAAUUAACCGCAAAAUUUAUUUAAAAUUCGAUCCCAGUUGAAGACGACCUGAGACCGGUAAAUCAGAGACUACAAAGGCGCCGUAUACAAGCGGAACACUCAAAAUAAAGAUGUGAAAUACACACAUCACCUACUUAAGACCUACCUUCAACACCCAUGAACCCCAUAACCACAAAAACCAAUUUCACUACCUAAAACAAACUCCAACGCAAACAACCAUUGGAAACGAAAUCCAUAAAUACCCAUCGCCGCUACUCACUCCAAAAAAAAGUCCUCGCAAUCAAACAUCCUCUUCACCUCCCCAUGGUUAAGCCACACCUAAAAUGUUCAAUUCAAUCACUCCUUCGACUUUCACUACCUUUAUACCCCCGAUUCGCCGAAGAAGAAACACCAUAAUAGACCAAAGAAAACUUGAAUCAAAGAUUUGACUCCCUAUCUCGAAUCAAAAUCGAUCGGUCCACCAGACUCUAGUGAAAAAUUAGUAAGGUAACCCUCAUAUCCCCGAUCCAUCGAAGAGGACACCAUAACCAGCCAAACCAUAUGUAGUUAGACACUAGCUCCUGAUCUCGAAGCAAAAAUAAUCGCCCCACCAGAAUCCAGAGCACAAAUCAGUAUGGCAUUCGAUAGGAUGGGCAGUGAGUAAACCAAAAUCAUGUCAAAAAAGGAAACAAGAUCAGCUCAAAAACCCCCCAAAAACAAAGCAACCAAAUUGAAACAAGAGCUAGCGUCGACGAAUAGGACCCAACAUAGAGGCGUCCUAUAACAGAAAUACCAAAGAGCUAACCACUAACCACCUUCCCAUCACCUACAUACCUAAACAACGUCCACACCUGCUCUAAAUCACCUUAUGUCCACCGUGAGUUUCGAUAGAUCCGAGUCCGGAUUAUCCACGACCACCCCAUUCAAACCACACCACUACUGCUACCAUAAAUGACCACUCAAACCAACACCUACACUUCCUCCCCCAACCAUCUCGCAACACAACUAUCACCACCAUCACAAACAAACGUCAUCUCUGACCAACCUGUGAGUCACCACAACGUACCCACACAUCACCACCACCAAAUCACAAAUACAACUAUAGACCAAGGAAACGCCAGGAAAAAAAUUGACAGAGAAAAGCAUGAUAAACUAGAGACACUUUGGAGGCAGAAAUUCAUUCAAAAAAUAUACAGAACAUCACAUUCUUGUGAAUCAAAGAUUUGCCAAAAGUAAUACUAAAUAAAUCUUUCUUUUAUCAAGUGCAUGAGAGAAAUUAACAUAUCUCUAUUCUGUAAAUAAACUAUCAUUGAUCGAUAUAUUAGGUGUGAACGUGCAAAAUGUCAAGGAAUAUUCCAAAGUAUUUUGAAGGAGAUUUGGCGGUAUACCUUUUUGCAUUCGAUUGGCAUGACUUAUUGAGACGAAUCAAACGUAAAAGUUAGUGUGUUCCACACACGAUUUAAAAUUUAUGUACACGUUUCAUCAUAUUCAUCAUCAUCAUCAUAAUCAAGUUAUUGCAGUAGACUCAAACACAUGUUCUAAGAUUAAUUAUGUAAUCACAUGUAUAAAAGAACUUUUGUAAUGCUAUUUAAUUUAGACACACAUUCUUAGUAAAUGUCUAACAUUCAUUAUGAUCCAAUGAUUAAAUCAAAAUGUAAAUUGAUCCUACAUACAUCUACUUGUGUAUAAAUAGGUUCUCAUCCCGAUGGUGAAUUAUAUCCUUAGAUAAUUUUACCAUGGUACAAAAUAUAUUUUUUCUCUUUAUUGUCAAUAAAUGAUAAAAAUGAA
rnacentral:lncRNA from 1 species